GCGACAACUUUGACAUGAUAAAUGUUAGGCCCAAUAAAAAUCCAAAAUUGUGAGAAUUUAAAGUAUAAAUGAUAAAUCCACCUUAAAACAAAAAAAAUUCUAUAGGUGCCUUGCCAAAAUAACACAAACCAAGCCUGUAAACAUCCAACUUUAAACCACGAUGUAAUUAUGGCAUAGGUAAAAGAGUUUCGAGAAGGGUGUUUCU
rnacentral:misc_RNA from 1 species